GUUGGCUUGGAAGCAGCCAUUCAUUCAAAGAGUGCGUAACAGCUCACUAGUCGAGAGACCGGGCAUGGAUAAUAAUCGGGUAUUAAGUCAGAUACCGAAGGCACGGGGUAGCAGAGUAAUGAAAAGUACCGGUAGGGGAGCAUUCCACCUCCGUCGAAUGGUUUCCGUGAGGAUUCCUGGAGGGCGUGGAAAAGCAAAUGUAGGCAUAAGUAACGACUAGGGGCGUGAGAACCGCCCCCGCCGCAAGUCUAAGGUUUCCCGGGCGAUGCCAGUCAGCCCGGGGUCAGUCGGGUCCUAAGGCUCAGCCGAACGGCGAGGCCGAUGGCAGACACGGUUAAUAUUCCGUGACCCUCUGCUGGAGCGACGUGGAGACGGAGCAGUGACACCACCGCGCCCUGACGGAAUAGGGCGUUGAAGGCCGUAGGUGCUGACAAGGGCAGGCAAAUCCACCCUUUGAGCCGAAAGCCGACAGUACGCUUCCUCCUCCGGGAGGCGGCGACAGCGUGGGUAACCAUACUUCCUAGAAAAUCCGCUAAGCAUAUCCAUCGGAGGCCCGUACCGCAAUCCGACACAGGUAGACGGGUAGAACAUACUGAGGCGUUGGGAGAUUCAUGGCUAAGGAACUAGGCAAACUGACCCCGUAACUUCGGGAUAAGGGGUCCUCACGGCAACGUGAGGCGCAGAGAAUAGGCCCAGGCAACUGUUUAACAAAAACACAGGGCUGUGCAAACUCGAAAGAUGAUGUAUACAGCCUGACACCUGCCCGGUGCCGGAAGGUUAAGAGGAGGAGUCAGCCCCUUGUGGGUGAAGCCCCGAGUUGAAGCCCCGGUAAACGGCGGCCGUAACUAUAACGGUCCUAAGGUAGCGAAAUUCCUUGUCGGGUAAGUUCCGACCUGCACGAAUGGUGUAAUGAUCCGGACGCUGUCUCAACCAUGAGCUCAGUGAAAUUGUAGUAUCGGUGAAGAUGCCGAUUACCCGCGAUGGGACGAAAAGACCCCGUGAACCUUUACUACAGCUUAGCAUUGACCUUGGUCAUCCGAUGUGUAGGAUAGGCCGGAGGCUUCGAAGCGGGGACGCCAGUCUUCGUGGAGCCGCCCUUGAAAUACGGCCCUUUGGCUGUCCGAGGUCUAACGCGCUUUUUGCGCGGACACCGCUUGGCGGGUAGUUUGACUGGGGUGGUCGCCUCCAAAAGUGUAACGGAGGCUUCCAAAGGUGCCCUCAGGCCGAUUGGUAACCGGCCUCUAGAGUGCAAUGGCAUAAGGGCGCUUGACUGGGAGGGAGACAUCCCGAGCAGGCAGGAAACUGGGGCAUAGUGAUCCGGCGGACGCGUAUGGAAGCUCCGUCGCUCAAAGGAUAAAAGGUACUCCGGGGAUAACAGGCUGAUCCCCCCCA
rnacentral:rRNA from 1 species